rnacentral:rRNA from 1 species
AGUGAACGCUGGCGGUAGGCCUAACACAUGCAAGUCGAGCGGCAGCACAGUAAGAGCUUGCUCUUACGGGUGGCGAGUGGCGGACGGGUGAGGAAUACAUCGGAAUCUACUUUUUCGGGGGGGAUAACGGAGGGAAACUUACGCUAAUACCGAAUACGUCCUACGGGUGAAAGCAGGAGAUCUUCGGACCUUGCGCGAUUGAAUUAGCCGAUGUCGGAUUAGCUAGUUGGCUGGGUAAAGGCCCACCAAGGCAACGAUCCGUAGCUGGUCUGAGAGGAUGAUCAGCCACACUGGAACUGAGACACGGUCCAGACUCCUACGGGAGGCAGCAGUGGGGAAUAUUGGACAAUGGGCGAAAGCCUGAUCCAGCCACACCGCGUGGGUGAAGAAGGCCUUCGGGUUGUAAAGCCCUUUUGUUGGGAAAGAAAAGCAGCAGGUUAAUACCCCGCUGUUCUGACGGUACCCAAAGAAUAAGCACCGGCUAACUUCGUG